GAUGAACGCUGGCGGCGUGCCUAAUACAUGCAAGUCGAGCGAACAGACGAGGAGCUUGCUCCUCUGACGUUAGCGGCGGACGGGUGAGUAACACGUGGAUAACCUACCUAUAAGACUGGGAUAACUUCGGGAAACCGGAGCUAAUACCGGAUAAUAUAUUGAACCGCAUGGUUCAAUAGUGAAAGACGGUUUUGCUGUCACUUAUAGAUGGAUCCGCGCCGCAUUAGCUAGUUGGUAAGGUAACGGCUUACCAAGGCAACGAUGCGUAGCCGACCUGAGAGGGUGAUCGGCCACACUGGAACUGAGACACGGUCCAGACUCCUACGGGAGGCAGCAGUAGGGAAUCUUCCGCAAUGGGCGAAAGCCUGAAGGAGCAACGCCGCGUGAGUGAUGAAGGUCUUCGGAUCGUAAAACUCUGUUAGUAGGGAAGAACAAAUGUGUAAGUAACUAUGCACGUCUUGACGGUACCUAAUCAGAAAGCCACGGCUAACUACGUG
rnacentral:rRNA from 1 species